UCCUGGCCUCCCUUCCAUGACCUAUGACCGAUGAUGACCUUUAGCUAGAGAAUGUGACAUUUUGUUCUCCUCUGGCUGACAUGUGAUGCCCUCAUUAUUCAAAGGUUUUAUUGAUAUCAUACCAGAAAGCUGGUUUCAGCUCCUGGCAAACUGGCAGCACAAGAGAAGGAUUUCCUGGAUGUCAUCUUCAUUCAAACACUGAUAAAGUGCAGCCAAAGCAGGGAAGACAAACAAAACAUUUACAGCAUUGCUGGAGAAGGAAGGAACUAGACAAGAAACCACAGCCUGGUUGUAAUGAAGAAGUGAAACUGGACAACUUUCAGCACUUAUGCUUUGUUUUUACAGUGAAAGCAUACAUACACACAUAUAACCUGACUUCGCUGAGCAUGUCCUGCUUGAACCUGAGGGUCCCAGCCAUCAUCACAACUAAGAAGAAGAUAUGAAAUACCCACCCUAGCUAAACUUAUUGCGGUGAUGACUAGAAGGACGACAGAAAGGUGAGGGAACAGAGAGCCGGGCACUGUAGCAACACAAAGGACACUGUUCAGUUUCCAUCAAAAGACAAUCCACGUGGCUCCCCGUGUCAGAUGGCUGUUAGUGGAUCUCACGUCUUCUCUUUUACUAGACCUCCUGUCUUCUAUUUUACAUUUGUCGUGUUCAGCUGAUUUUCUAUCACUAUACCAAUCAAAUGCAUUAGUU